rnacentral:tRNA from 1 species
CUAAUGUGUCAGAAGCAAAUGUAUUAAAUUUAAGAUUUAAUUAUGAAACCUUAUUCCUUUAGUA